AGUGAGGAAUCUUCAGUCCACUGUCCAAUUGGGCCUUGAUUUUCUUUCUCCAGAAAGCUUAGGUGAGGCUGUUAGAAUGGCUGAAGAAAUCCGUGGCCUUCCUAAUACUCAUGAUGCGAAGCUGCAAAUGUUGGAGGUGGGAAAGAUAUCACUUUAUGCAGCAAGCUCAGCCAUCAAAGAAGUUCAGAAGUUGGUUCUGGAUCCUAAAGUUGGUCCUGAGCUUGGAUUUGAGGAUCCCAAUUUGACCGCAUUGGUGUCAGAGAAUUUGGAGAAAAUGAUGAAGAGACGUCAGGUACCUUGAACAUAAACCAGUGCAGAGAGGUUUGUAUCCGAGUAUGUCUGAAUUCAUAUGUACAG
rnacentral:misc_RNA from 1 species